rnacentral:rRNA from 1 species
UGCCUGAUGGAGGGGGAUAACUACUGGAAACGGUAGCUAAUACCGCAUAACGUCGCAAGACCAAAGAGGGGGACCUUCGGGCCUCUUGCCAUCGGAUGUGCCCAGAUGGGAUUAGCUAGUAGGUGGGGUAACGGCUCACCUAGGCGACGAUCCCUAGCUGGUCUGAGAGGAUGACCAGCCACACUGGAACUGAGACACGGUCCAGACUCCUACGGGAGGCAGCAGUGGGGAAUAUUGCACAAUGGGCGCAAGCCUGAUGCAGCCAUGCCGCGUGUAUGAAGAAGGCCUUCGGGUUGUAAAGUACUUUCAGCGGGGAGGAAGGGAGUAAAGUUAAUACCUUUGCUCAUUGACGUUACCCGCAGAAGAAGCACCGGCUAACUCCGUGCCAGCAGCCGCGGUAAUACGGAGGGUGCAAGCGUAAUCGGAAUUACUGGGCGUAAAGCGCACGCAGGCGGUUU